rfam:Gongylonema pulchrum genome assembly, scaffold: GPTH_scaffold0008661
CUGGGCUACGGCGACAUGGUACCAGCAACAAUAAUGGGCAAAGUUGUUGGCGGAGUUUGUUCAUUAAGCGGUGUUCUGGUGAUCGCGCUUCCAGUUCCGGUAAGUUCGCAUCCAGC